rnacentral:rRNA from 1 species
UACGUAGGGUGCAAGCGUUAUCCGGAAUUAUUGGGCGUAAAGAGCUCGUAGGCGGUCUGUCGCGUCUGCUGUGAAAUCUGGGGGGCUCAACCCCCCAGCCUGCAGUGGGUACGGGCAGACUAGAGUGCGGUAGGGGUGACUGGAAUUCCUGGUGUAGCGGUGGAAUGCGCAGAUAUCAGGAGGAACACCGAUGGCGAAGGCAGGUCACUGGGCCGCAACUGACGCUGAGGAGCGAAAGCAUGGGGGAGCGAACAGGG